rnacentral:misc_RNA from 1 species
GAUGAAGAACGCAGUGAAAUGCGAUAAGUAAUGUGAAUUGCAGAAUUCAGUGAAUCAUCGAAUCUUUGAACGCACAUUGCGCCCUCUGGUAUUCCGGGGGGCAUGCCUGUUCGAGCGUCAUUAUAACCACUCAAGCUCUCGCUUGGUAUUGGGGUUCGCGGUUCCGCGGCCCCUAAAAUCAGUGGCGGUGCCUGUCGGCUCUACGCGUAGUAAUACUCCUCGCGAUUGAGUCCGGCAGGUCUACUUGCCAGCAACCCCCAAUUUUUACAGGUUGACCUCGGAUCAGGUAGGGAUACCCGCUGAACUUAAGCAUAUCAAUAAGCGGAGGA